UACACGGCUUCGAGAGACGACAACAAAGUCGGGCCUUUGACCAACCUUUAUAGUUCCUGGUUCAGUUGUGCUUUGGACUUCGACGAGUGAACUUAGAAAUUUUUGCACCUUUGCACUGAAAAUCUAUCUCCACGAGUGGACUUAGAAAUUUUCGCACGAUGCCGAAUUCGAGCGAGUAUUAACGAAGACUUAAAAACCUCGUUGCAAUCGCGAGCGUUGCAAUGAUGUAAUCGAGUAUUGGUAUCGCUAAAAUAAAUUUAUCGCGAAGUAGAAGCAGUGUUUGUUCGUUCGCGUUUCGCGAUUUAAACCAUAAGUGUUUUUGCAUAGACUGCGCGCAAUGCAGUCUUUAGAGUCAGUGUUUGUCCGCGUAGUUUUUUGAUUUUUUAACAGUCGCACAGACUGUACUUGUAAAAUAUAGUAGAGUUGCGUUAAGUAAAUUCAGUGACCGUUCGUUAAUGAGUAACUAUCGCGAAUUAGAGUCAGUGCAUCACCGAAGAGGAUCUCGACCAACGUCGAUGUCGACCUACCUCAUGUUCAACCAACUACAAAUCGUCCACCCUCAAUUUCGACCUAAAUCGCGGUCCAGUGUUUUGGAGCCGUCGCAGAACUUCUUAAGUAGUCAGAUCAUCGAGGAAUGGACCAUCGAGGGAUGGAUCAUCGAGGGAUUGAUCAUCGAGGGAACGGUCGUGAUUUUUAUUUCUUUCAUUAUAAUACAUUUCUUUUUAUUCUACACAUUUCUACUUAUUAUAAGCAUUUCUAUAUAUGUAUAAGCAAGCUUAUAUUUAUUAUAUGCAUAUUUAUUAUAUUUAUUACAUGCAUUUCUAUCGAUUACACGUAUUUCUAUUUAUUGAAACGCAUAGCUACGUAAUAGUUUGAACGGUUACCCGAGAUUUAUUACUCUAUUUUCUCUCGACUUCGGUACUCUGAUUUUUCUCGGGUGAAGCGAUCCUCAAGAUAUUCGUCCGUCGUUCCAAAUUCUAUCUUUCUCUCGCACUCUCGCACACAUUCCCGGUAUCUCUUUUCUUUUCCUCUUCUUCUUUUUCUUCUUCCCAUCUGCUUUUACUCUUUCUCUUUUUCUGUUUCUAAAUCAUCGAGGGAACGAUCAUCGUGGGAUGAUUACACGGAAGUUAACGGAA